GCACUGCUGAGGAGUCCCAUACUAGGACGAAAUGGUCGUCCAGUAC
rfam:Schistosoma haematobium scaffold1369_7, whole genome shotgun sequence.